AUGACAUGUUCACGUUCAGAGUUCUGUUAAGUAUCACAUUCAAAGUUCGGUUGAACAUGUUCAAAGGUUUGUUCAACACAAGUUUUACCCUUUCUAUUACUUCACUUGAGCUUUGAUAACCACAGGCAAAGAUGUUGGUAGCCAAAUGCAGUUCCAGAGUAGCUGAGUGGGAAUUAACAAGCCAUAUAGGCUAUUUGGUAUAUAGUAAACAAAUGGGAGAUGUUUUACCAUUCGAGCUAUUAUCCGAGUCGUACUUUAACUUACCUUUAUGGCUCCAAAAGUAGAAAAUAGUCCACUUACUUAGCUAUUCUUCAAACUGCAUGUUCUAACUCAAAGCUGUCCUGUCAUCUUUACUUCUUUACUAACAUACGGCUCCAACUAUUAUACCUAUUAACUGAUAUACCUGAUGACACUCUUCAAGAAGCAGUUGAAGCAAAACCUGCACUGUUCUGUUGGUGGUGGCCCUGGCCUUUUAUGUCGCACUAUCUACCUACUGUCCUGUCCUUUGUAGGCCUAUUUCAUUCAUGCAAAACAUAGCCGCACUCCUGUGUUUAAACAUUUUAUCUGGAGUUAAAAUGAAGUUCAAGUUGAAAAUAUGUUCAAUUCAUAGUUCACAGAAACAUGAGCUUGUUCAUUGAACUAUUGUAUUUGAACUUACUAGUUCAUGCACAACACUGCACAAGAGUGAGAUAGUAUAGCCAAGUGGUGCAAGACAGUAGGUGAGUCAUGCAGAGCAGCACAAAUGUUACAUGAGACAGUACACGAGUGGCUUGUACACUAACAACAUGACAGGACAGAUUUUGCUCUUAUUGCCGUUGCUGGAGACCAUCUUUUCUAAAGCCAUUCAUUUUUGCCUCUUUGUAUUUCAGAUGACAUUACAUGAUUCACAACCAGUUGUGCUGGUAAACAGCUACUGCUCUUGUGUGGCUGGUUGUGGAAUCUGCAACCACUUAGUUGCAUUGCUUUACCAGACAGCCCAUUAUUCCGAAUGUGGCAUGUCUGUCGUCCCUCCUGUUCUUUAAUGCACGCAGACGGAGCAGAAGUGGCAUAAACCACAAACAAUGGGGGUGAGGCCAGGACCCAUGGAUGCCAUGGCUGUCAAAAGCCCAAACCAUGUGCUACAACAGCCAGUGGAGUUAGAUCUGCACUUUACAAGGGCUACAGCGGUGAGCUCCCAGACCACUCCACCCUCAACCCUGGACCUGCCUACGCUGGAAUGAAGCCAGAAUCUCUUCCACUCAUCUGCAAAAUGAACAUCUCAGCUGAUAAGCCACUAGUGGACUCCAUCUUUGGGAAGGUACAAGCUGGCAGUGUACUGUCCUAUCAAUACCCACCAUCUACAUCUAACAGUGUUGUCAUGCAUGAGGAUGCACCCCCAUUCCCGAGUGUGCCCCUAGAAGGUUAUCAUCUAAACUCAACUGAAUGUUCAUUCAUGAACUCAAGCAUUUAAAAAAAAAAAAAAAAAAAUCUGUCAUUUUAUUCAAUUGUAUUGCUAUUGUAUUCUUUUAUUUUUUACAUAUAAAAGUAAAAAAAAACAUUGCAUAUUGUGAUUGUGAUUAUGGGAAAUGCUUAAUAUCAUAAAAAGUAUAAAUGCUAGAAAUGUAUAAAAGUAUAGCACAUGUCCUGAAUUAGCUGAACGUUUAAAUGUUUGAAUGUUGUGUUGAAUUUGGGGUUUGGCAUCGCAGUUUGGUGCAAUCUAAAGUGAUUUGAGUGUCAGCGUAGUCCUGAAACACAUCUGGCAGGUGAGCUUUCACAGUGUCCUCAUCUAGCCAAAUACCCACAGCCCUCAAUACAGUGUACAGGAAGUUAGCCCAGGUGUUAAUAAUGCGGCUUACAGUCGACUGAUGCAUUCUGAAUCUGUGGGCCAAAUCCUUUUGCAUCAGUCCCAAUGAUAGGUAAUUCAUAAACAGGAAGAACUCGUCAAUGGGUUGAAGAAUCUGGAAAAAAAAAAAAAAAAAAAGAUUUAUUUUAUUAAUACCUAAUUGCAAGAAAUACAUUGUGACCUGCACAAGUUAUUCUGAGUAAAGGAUUAAUUUGAAAAUGAUGAUAUGCUUUGUAAGGACAACAGGAAAACAUUUACCGUUGCAUUAGCAGUGUGAGGGACCUGAUCAGUCUUCGCUACACUUCGUGCUCUUGUAACCUGUACGAUCUUUGCUCUACGGCUCUAACACUUCAUAUCAGACAAAGACAGUGGAUAUUUUAUUUGCUUGGUAAAAAAUCUUAUGUCCUCAUCAGAGGCAGAAAACCAUUCCAAACAGGUCUUGCGGCUGAUGGUCAACUCCUCGAUUUGUUUUCGGAGCCUUGCUAUUUCAUCCUGUAGCUCCUCGUUUUUCAUUCAGGGACAGGUGCAGCGCAGCAGGCGCGGUACUGGCGCAGUAAUCAUGGUCAGAAGGAUACUGAGAUGGGGGGGUCAUCAUCUUCUGGGACGUCAGCCUGCGUCUCUGUUGGGAUGGUGUUAGUUGGUCGCUCUGCUCUUUCCCAAACUCCAGGUCGUGGGGUUGGGGGAUGGUAGUUGUUCCAAUGGAAAAGAACAGGGAGGGCUCCAGGUUGCAGGCAUUGUCGUCCAGCCGGAGUGGGAGGCUCGAUUAGAUCAACAGAUCGAAAGUGUCACAAACAUACUCGCGAACUAUUCGUGACGGUAAAAUGAUCCCUCUUGAUGUUGACAACCCACCGUCUCUGCAAGUGUUUAUCUUUUGGAAAGGUGUGAAAGCUCAGGUAGGAAUUACACCUUGCUGAUGCUGUGCAGAGUGGCACACAGCAGUGGUAGCUUGAACUGCUGUCCUUGCGUUUUUGAAGAGAUAGUUUUGUUCGCUUACAUGUUAUGACAUUGACAUCCUGACAUUUCAGCGGAAAUUACAUUAUGUUCCUGCGUGCAUGUAGGCUGUUUCGCUCAUCAAGGGUUCAGCCAAGACUGACUCUGC